rnacentral:rRNA from 1 species
AAAUUGAAGAGUUUGAUCAUGGCUCAGAUUGAACGCUGGCGGCAGGCCUAACACAUGCAAGUCGAACGGUAACAGGAAGCAGCUUGCUGCUUCGCUGACGAGUGGCGGACGGGUGAGUAAUGUCUGGGAAACUGCCUGAUGGAGGGGGAUAACUACUGGAAACGGUGGCUAAUACCGCAUAACGUCGCAAGACCAAAGAGGGGGACCUUCGGGCCUCUUGCCAUCAGAUGUGCCCAGAUGGGAUUAGCUUGUUGGUGAGGUAACGGCUCACCAAGGCGACGAUCCCUAGCUGGUCUGAGAGGAUGACCAGCCACACUGGAACUGAGACACGGUCCAGACUCCUACGGGAGGCAGCAGUGGGGAAUAUUGCACAAUGGGCGCAAGCCUGAUGCAGCCAUGCCGCGUGUAUGAAGAAGGCCUUCGGGUUGUAAAGUACUUUCAGCGGGGAGGAAGGUGUUGCGGUUAAUAACCGCAGCAAUUGACGUUACCCGCAGAAGAAGCACCGGCUAACUCCGUGCCAGCAGCCGCGGUAAUACGGAGGGUGCAAGCGUUAAUCGGAAUUACUGGGCGUAAAGCGCACGCAGGCGGUCUGUCAAGUCGGAUGUGAAAUCCCCGGGCUCAACCUGGGAACUGCAUUCGAAACUGGCAGGCUUGAGUCUUGUAGAGGGGGGUAGAAUUCCAGGUGUAGCGGUGAAAUGCGUAGAGAUCUGGAGGAAUACCGGUGGCGAAGGCGGCCCCCUGGACAAAGA